GUAAUGGCGUGCCUUUUGUAGAAUGAACCGGCGAGUUGCGUUAGUCAGCAAGGUUAAGUCAGAAAAGACGGAGCCGUAGCGAAAGCGAGUCUGAAGAGGGCGAGCAGUUGGCUGACGCAGACCCGAAACCAAGUGACCUACCCAUGACCAGGUUGAAGGCGCGGUAAAACGCGCUGGAGGACCGAACCCACGUAAGUUGAAAAUUGCGGGGAUGAGUUGUGGGUAGCGGUGAAAUUCCAAACGAACUUGGAGAUAGCUGGUUCUCUCCGAAAUAGCUUUAGGGCUAGCCUCGCAAAGAGGAUGCUGGA
rnacentral:rRNA from 1 species